rnacentral:rRNA from 1 species
AGAACGAACGCUGGCGGCGUGGAUAAGACAUGCAAGUCGAGCGCUGAUUACGGGGUAGCAAUAUUCCGUAGUUGGAGCGGCGCAAGGGUGCGUAACACGUGGGUAAUCUGCCGUGAAGUCUGGGAUAACUCGCUGAAAGGCGAGCUAAUACCGGAUGUGAACAUUGGGAGGCAUCUUCUGAUGUUUAAAGUUGGGGACCGUAAGGCCUGACGCUUCAUGAUGAACCCGCGGCCUAUCAGCUAGUUGGUGAGGUAACGGCCCACCAAGGCUAAGACGGGUAGCUGGUCUGAGAGGACGACCAGCCACACUGGAACUGAGACACGGUCCAGACACCUACGGGUGGCAGCAGUCGAGAAUUUUUCACAAUGGGGGAAACCCUGAUGGAGCGACGCCGCGUGGGGGAUGAAUGGCUUCGGCCCGUAAACCCCUGUCAUUCGCGAACAAUGCCUGCGGUCUAAUAAAUCGCAGGUUGAUAGUAGCGGAAGAGGAAGGGACGGCUAACUCUGUGCCAGCAGCCGCGGUAAUACAGAGGUCCCAAGCGUUGUUCGGAUUUACUGGGCGUAAAGGGUGCGUAGGCGGUCGGGUAAGUCUGAUGUGAAAUCUCCGAGCUCAACUCGGAAACGGCAUUGGAUACUAUUCGGCUUGAGGUCUGGAGGGGGGACUGGAAUUCUCGGUGUAGCAGUGAAAUGCGUAGAUAUCGAGAGGAACACCAGUGGCGAAGGCGAGUCCCUGGACAGGUCCUGACGCUGAGGCACGAAAGCUAGGGGAGCAAACAGGAUUAGAUACCCUAGUAGUCC